GUGGAAGGAGCGCGCUGAGGAGCGGGGCCUUGAAGGGAGACCGUUGAGCUGGGGCGUCCCUCGAGCUGAGCACCUCGCUAAAGUCCGGGAGAAGACCCUGAGGCGGGGUUCUGAGGAGGUAGCCUUGAGUCGGGGGAGGGGCGAUGAGCAGAGGUGGCUGACUUUGGCGAUAGGUCUUGGUCGCGAGGGUUGCAGAUGGAGCCUUGGCUUAGAAGGUCGAAUCCGGGCCCGUUUCCCCCCGCCCCCGCUGCCCAUGGCUUCUCUUUUCACCUCCAGGUUUUCAUGCUGGC
rnacentral:lncRNA from 1 species